rnacentral:rRNA from 1 species
GAUGAACGCUGGCGGCGUGCCUAACACAUGCAAGUCGAACGGAAAGACGAGGAGCUUGCUGCGUUUACGUUAGCGGCGCGCGGGUGUGAAACAUGUGUAUAACCCACCUAUAUGACGGGGAAAACCUCGGGAAACCGGAGCAUAUACCAGAUAACCUGCUGAAGCGCAUUGUUGGAUAGUGAGUGUCGGCGUUCCGGUCUCUAAUCGCUGGUUCCGCGCCGCAUUAGGUAGUAGGUACGGUAACGGCUUACCAAGGCAGCGAUGCGUAGCAGAACUGAGAGGGUGAGCAGCCAGACUGGAAGUGAGACACGGUCCAGACUCCUACGGGAGGCAGCAGUAGGGAAUCUUGCGCAAUGGGCGAAAGCCUGAGGGAGCAACGCCGCGUGAGUGAAGAAGGUCUUCGGAUCGUAAAAGUCUGUCAUCGGGGAGGAACAAAUUUGUGAGUAACUCUGCGCGUCUUGACGGUACCUGAGUAGAAAGCCACGGCUAACUUCGUG